rnacentral:rRNA from 1 species
GAUGAACGCUAGCGGCAGGCUUAAUACAUGCAAGUCGAGGGGCAGCAGUCCCGCAGCAAUGCGGGAGCUGGCGACCGGCAAACGGGUGCGGAACACGUACAGAACCUUCCUUCGAGCGGGGAAUAGCCCAGAGAAAUUUGGAUUAAUACCCCAUAGCAUUACGAAGUGGCAUCACUUUGUAAUUAAAGAUUUAUUCACUCGAAGAUGGCUGUGCGGCUGAUUAGGUAGUUGGCGGAGUAACGGCCCACCAAGCCUUCCGAUCAGUAACUGGUGUGAGAGCACGACCAGUCACACGGGCACUGAGA